rnacentral:rRNA from 1 species
AGCGAACGCUGGCGGCGUACUUAACACAUGCAAGUCGAACGAGGAUCAUCGGUGUAGCAAUACAUUGCUGGUCCUAGUGGCGCACGGGUGAGUAACACGUGGGUAACCUGCCCUUGAGUUCGGGAUACCCCCUCGAAAGGGGGGCUAAUACCGGAUACGUUCCUCGGAUCGACAGGUCUGGGGAGGAAAGGUGGCGCAAGCUGCCGCUCUUGGAGGGGCUCGCGGCCUAUCAGCUAGUUGGCGGGGUAACGGCCACCAAAGGCUAUGACGGGUAGCUGGUCUGAGAGGACGACCAGUCACACGGGGACUGAGACACGGCCCCGACUCCUACGGGAGGCAGCAGUGGGGAAUUUUCCGCAAUGGGCGAAAGCCUGACGGAGUGACGCCGCGUGUGGGACGAAGGCCUUCGGGUCGUAAACCACUGUCAGUGGGAAAGAAGGGUGUCGGCGCUAAAUACCGCCGGCACUUGACGGUACCUGCAGAGGAAGCCCCGGCCAACUCUGUGCCAGCAGCCGCCGGCUAAGACAGAGGGGGCAAGCGUUGCUCGGAAUUACUGGG